GCGGAUGUGGCGGAACUGGCAGACGCGCACGACUCAAAAUCGUUUUCCUUGAGGAGUGUCGGUUCGCCCCCGACCACCGGUA
rnacentral:tRNA from 1 species